GGGCCAGUAGCUCAGUUGGUCAGAGCUGGCGGCUCAUAACCGCCAGACCUCACCAUUUUUGCCUUUCUCA
rnacentral:tRNA from 1 species